AGACAAAUACAGAGAAACAAUCAAGGUCUGCAAGUCCCUGGAGCAGAGACUGGCAAGCUGCAGCCUGUGGGCCAAAUCCAGCUGGCCACCUUCUCUUAAAAAUUUUGCUGAACCCUUCCCUGGAGAAUAAUGGAGCUGCAUUGUAGAAGCAGCCUGUCCCUGAAUGAUUGUUCCUGAAUGAUUGCACAGAGCAGAACUGCCUCUGUUUAAGCCUUCCAACAGUCCUGUGCUGACCAGUGUUGGAUUGUGAUGUCUUACAGGUGGCCUUGGUAAAUUCUUCUGCUGAGUCAGUAGAACGCUAACACGCUGUAGGCUGACAGCCUAAAAGUGAUUCAUCCUUAAGAGCAUGUACAGCCAAGGAUUGUCACUGGAGACACAGACUGAAGAUAUAAUUGAGAAAGCUAUCCCUAGAAUUUACUAUAUGA